CCUACGGGUGACUGCAGUGAGGAAUAUUGGUCGAUGGGCGCGAGCCUGAACCAGCCAAGUCGCGUGAGGGAAGACGGCCCUACGGGUUGUACACCUCUUUUGCCGGGGAGCAACGGGCGCCACGUGUGGCUCCACUGAGAGUACCCGGAGAAAAAGCAUCGGCUAAUCCCGGGCCAGCAGCCGCGGUAAUCGGGGGGAUGCGAGCGUUAUCCGGAUUUAUGGGGUUAAAAGGGUGCGUAGGGGGUGGGUUAAGUGAGUGGGAAAGUUGUGGGGCUCAACCCCUUCCCGCCAUUGAAACUGGCGCUCUUGAGUGGAAGUGAGGUAGGCGGAAUGCGUGGUGUAGCGGUGAAAUGCAUAGAUAUCACGCAGAACCCCGAUUGCGAAGGCAGCAUGCCGGCUUCCUACUGACGCUGAAGCACGAAAGCGUGGGUAGCAAACAGGAUUAGAUACCCUAGUAGUC
rnacentral:rRNA from 1 species